UCCGAGUUGACCCCGGCAGUCUCCUAUGAGUCCCCGCCAUCACGCGCUGGCAACAUAGAACGAGGGUUGCGCUCGUUGCGGGACUUAACCCAACAUCUCACGACGCGAGCUGACGACAGCCAUGCACCACCUGUGAUCCUGCCCCGAAGGGAAGACCUGUUUCCAGGCCGGUCAGGAACAUGUCAAGCCCAGGUAAGGUUCUUCGCGUUGCGUCGAAUUAAACCACAUGCUCCGCUACUUGUGCGGGCCCCCGUCAAUUUCUUUGAGUUUUAACCUUGCGGCCGUACUCCCCAGGCGGAGAACUUAACGCGUUAGCUGCGCCACCGAGACUCCAAGAGCCCCGACAGCUAGUUCUCAUCGUUUACGGCGUGGACUAC
rnacentral:misc_RNA from 1 species